CGCCUGAUCCAGCCAUNCCGCGUGAAGGACGACGGCCCUAUGGGUUGUAAACUGCUUUUGUACGGGNAUAAACCUACUCUCGUGGAGAGNNCNUGAAGGUACNGUACGAAUAAGNACCGGCUAACUCCGUGCCAGCAGCCGCGGGUAAUAU
rnacentral:rRNA from 1 species